rnacentral:misc_RNA from 1 species
UUUCCGUAGGUGAGCCUGCGGAAGGAUCAUUAUUGGAUUUUGAAACUUCAGGCUGCUGCUGGCUCUCCUCGGAGGGCAUGUGCACGCUUGUUGUCCAUUAUUUCUCCCACUGUGCACAAAUUGUAGGCCUUUCAGUAGGCCUAUGUUGUUUUUCACAAUCUCUGAAUGUAAUAGAAUGGUUUUGAAUCUUGGGAAAUACAAUACAACUUUCAGCAACGGAUCUCUUGGCUCUC